AACGAACGCUGGCGGCGCGCCUAAUACAUGCAAGUCGAGCGAGAAGGUGUAGCAAUACACUUGUAAAGCGGCGAACGGGUGAGGAAUACAUGGGUAAUCUACCAUCGAGUGGGAAAUAACCAGCCGAAAGGUUGGCUAAUACCGCGUACGCCUCCGGAUCUUCGGGUUCGGAGGGAAAGCCACACUGUGAGUGCGGCGCUCUUUGAUGAGCUCAUGUCCUAUCAGCUUGUUGGUAGGGUAACGGCCUACCAAGGCUUUGACGGGUAGCUGGUCUGAGAGGACGAUCAGCCACACUGGCACUGCGACACGGGCCAGACUCCUACGGGAGGCAGCAGUGGGGAAUCUUGCGCAAUGGCCGAAAGGCUGACGCAGCGACGCCGCGUGGAGGAUGACGCCUCGG
rnacentral:rRNA from 1 species